rnacentral:rRNA from 1 species
AAUCCUUUAACGAGGAACUAUUGGAGGGCAAGUCUGGUGCCAGCAGCCGCGGUAAUUCCAGCUCCAAUAGCGUAUAUUAAAGUUGUUGCGUCUAAAAAGCUCGUAGUUUGAAAACUUGCCUUGGCUUACAACAGACGUCUAAGGGCGUCACCGUUUGUCGAGAGCAAAUAUGGGUGACUGUUCUUGCCUUCUUCACUGAUUGGCUCGUAAAAGUCAUCGAAGAUCACUUUGAUUAAAUUAGGGUGCUCAAAGCAAGUGUGCUACUUGAAUAUGAAUGCAUGGAAUGAUGGAAUAUGUUGUUGUUCUAUUUGUUGGUUUUUUGAAUGACGAAAUGAUUGAAAGGAACUGUUGGGGGCAUUCGUAUUGUUGUGAGAGAGGUGAAAUUCUUAGACCAUAGCAAGACGAACUACUGCGAAAGCAUUUGCCAAGAAUGUUUUCAUUGAUCAAGAACGAAAGUUAGAGGUUCGAAGGCGAUCAGAUACCGCCCUAGUUCUAACCAUAAACUAUGCCGACUAGCAAUUUGCUUUGUAUUUUUAUGACUAAGUGAGAGGCCACGGGAAACCAAAGUAGGGUUAUGGGGGAAGUAUGGUUGCAAAGCUGAAACUUAAAGGAAUUGACGGAAGGGCACCACCAGGAGUGGAGCCUGCGGCUUAAUUUGACUCAACACGGGAAAACUUACCUGGUCCUGACACUAGAAGGAUUGACAGAUUGAUAGCUCUUUCUUGAUUUGGUGGAUGGUGGUGCAUGGCCGUUCUUAGUUGGUGGAGUGAUUUGUCUGGUUAAUUCCGAUAACGAACGAGACUCUAGCCUAUUAAAUAAUAUGCGGAAUCAAUUUCUCCCGCGUUAUUUCUUAAUGGGAUCAAGCGUGUUUAACGCUUUGAAACAGAGCAAUAACAGGUCUGUGAUGCCCUUAGAUGUUCGGGGCUGCACGCGCGCUACAUUGAAGAACAAAGUGAGCCCUCUGGCUUUUAACAAAGCUAGAAAUCUUUUAAUGUUCUUCUUAAUGGGGAUAGGGGAUUGCAAUUGUGCCCCUUGAACGAGGAAUUCCCAGUAAGUGCUAGUCAUUAGCUAGUACUGAUUACGUCCCUGCCCUUUGUACACACCGCCCGUCGCUACUACCGAUUGAAUAGUUUAGUGAGAUCAUCUGAGUGUUUGUAUGUGCAUUCUGUGCUUGUAUGGUGUACGAAGAAGAUCAAACUUGAUUAUUUAGAGGAAGUAAAAGUC